AGUGAACGCUGGCGGUAGGCCUAACACAUGCAAGUCGAACGGCAGCACAGUAAGAGCUUGCUCUUACGGGUGGCGAGUGGCGGACGGGUGAGGAAUACAUCGGAAUCUACUUUUUCGUGGGGGAUAACGUAGGGAAACUUACGCUAAUACCGCAUACGACCUACGGGUGAAAGCAGGGGAUCUUCGGACCUUGCGCGAUUGAAUGAGCCGAUGUCGGAUUAGCUAGUUGGCGGGGUAAAGGCCCACCAAGGCGACGAUCCGUAGCUAGUCUGAGAGGAUGAUCAGACACACUGGAACUGAGACACGGUCCAGACUCCUACGGGAGGCAGCAGUGGGGAAUAUUGGACAAUGGGCGCAAGCCUGAUCCAGCCAUACCGCGUGGGUGAAGAAGGCCUUCGGGUUGUAAAGCCCUUUUGUUGGGAAAGAAAAGCAGCAGGUUAAUACCCCGCUGUUCUGACGGUACCCAAAGAAUAAGCACCGGCUAACUUCGUG
rnacentral:rRNA from 1 species